CACGUAGGGGGCAAGCGUUGUCCGGAUUUAUUGGGCGUAAAGAGCUCGUAGGCGGCUCUGUAAGUCGGGUGUGAAACCUCCAGGCUCAACCUGGAGACGCCACCCGAUACUGCUGUGGCUUGAGUCCGGUAGAGGAGCGUAGAAUUCCUGGUGUAGCGGUGAAAUGCGCAGAUAUCAGGAGGAAUACCAGCGGCGAAGGCGGCGCUCUGGGCCGGAACUGACGCUGAGGAGCGAAAGCGUGGGUAGCAAACAGG
rnacentral:rRNA from 1 species